rnacentral:rRNA from 1 species
AAUCAACGCUGGCGGCGUGCCUCAGACAUGCAAGUCGAACGAUUAAAGCUCUCUUCGGAGAGUGCAUAGAGUGGCGCACGGGUGAGUAACACGUAAGUAAUCUACCUUCGAGUGGGGAAUAACGUCCGGAAACGGGCGCUAAUACCGCAUAAUGCAGCGGCAUCGCAAGAUGACAGUUGUUAAAGGAGCAAUCCGCUUGAAGAGGAGCUUGCGGCAGAUUAGCUAGUUGGUAGGGUAAUGGCCUACCAAGGCUACGAUCUGUAACCGGUCUUAGAGGACGGUCGGUCACACUGACACUGAAUAACGGGUCAGACUCCUACGGGAGGCAGCAGUCGGGAAUUUUGGGCAAUGGGGGAAACCCUGACCCAGCAACGCCGCGUGAAGGAUGAAGUAUUUCGGUAUGUAAACUUCGAAAGAAUAGGAAGAAUUAAUGACGGUACUAUUUAUAAGGUCCGGCUAACUACGUGCCAGCAGCCGUCGGUAAAGUCGAUAUCG